UGGCGAAACCUCCAGAAAGGAGGUCCACCCGGAGUGGUGUCCGGGUGCUGACGAUGCCAGCCGCAU
rnacentral:hammerhead_ribozyme from 1 species